rnacentral:rRNA from 1 species
AGUGAACGCUGGCGGUAGGCCUAACACAUGCCAGUCGAACGGCAGCACAGUAAGAGCUUGCUCUUACUGGUGGCGAGUGGCGGACGGGUGAGGAAUACAUCGGAAUCUACUUUUUCGUGGGGGAUAACGUAGGGAAACUUACGCUAAUACCGCAUACGACCUACGGGUGAAAGCAGGGGAUCUUCGGACCUUUGGCGAUGGAAUGAGCCGAUGCCGGAUUAGAUAAGUGGGUAGGUAAAGGCCCACCAAGGCGACGAUCCGUAGCUGGUCUGAGAGGAUGAUCGGCCACACUGGAACUGAGACACGGUCCAGACUCCGACGGGAGGCAGCAGUGGGGAAUAUUGGGCAAUGGGCGAAAGCCUGAUCGAGCCAUACCGCGUGGGUGAAGAAGGCCUUCGGGUUGUAAAGCCCUGUUGUUGGGAAAGAAAAGCAGCAGGUUAAUACCCCGCUGUUCUGACGGUACCCAAAGAAUAAGCACCGGCUAACUUCGUG